rnacentral:rRNA from 1 species
CCUACGGGAGGCAGCAGUGGGGAAUUUUGCGCAAUGCUCGUAAGAGUGACGCAGCGACGCCGCGUGAAUGACGAAGGCCUUCGGGUCGUAACGUUCUUUCGACAGGGAAGAAAAUGCAUAUCAGUAACUGUGUAUGUAUUGACGGUACCUGUAUAAGCAGCCCCGGCUAACUCCGUGCCAGCCGCCGCGGUAAUACGGAGGGGGCGAGCGUUGUUCGGAGUGACUGGGCGUAAAGAGCACGUAGGCGGUGUUGUAAGUCAUUAGUCAAAGACUAGAGCUCAACUUUAGUAAGGCUAGUGAUACUAUAAUACUAGAGUAUCAGAGAGGAUUGCAGAAUGCCUGGUGGAGCGGUGAAAUGCGUAGAUAUCAGGAGGAAUACCGUUAGCGAAGGCGGCAAUCUGGCUGCAAACUGACGCUGAGGUGCGAAAGCGUGGGUAGCAAACAGGAGUAGAUACCCUUGUAGUC